rnacentral:lncRNA from 1 species
AGGGCAGGAGGAGCAGCGCCUGCCUGCUCUUCCAAGGGGAUCUGCCGAGGUCCAGGUGCGAGCAGGGACCCCGGCUCCCUCACAUUUCGGGGCCUGAAAAACGUGACCGAAAAUGCGUCGGCUCUUGGCGGUUCUGUCCCCGCUGGCGAAGUGCCUCCCCUCAUUGAGGAGCCCGCCGUGCCACCAGAGUACACGCCGGGGAAACAAGCUCCUUUCGCGGGCAUUUCAAACCCAUAUCCUUUAAGAGAGCUGGAGGAUACUCUUGUUGAUCAACGUGUUUUAUUUUAGGGCGGUAUAGACUCAACAGCAGAAGUACAUCAGAGGAUUUUGCGCUGAUCUCUUUGCAGGGCCGCCUGUGGGGUGGAACAUAGCAGCUGCCCACCAGCACACCGUGUCAGUUCUCCUGGCCAAAGGUGUCAGGGAUGCGCUGUGGUGCUCGGGAGAUGGAAUGUCAUCUGUGAGACAACGUGUAACUUCAGUUCGUCCUUCCUCAGAAAGACUUCCUCAGAAGUCAGAUGAAAGGGGAGGAAGGCCAUACAGCCCCCAGAGGUCACUGGCUGCAUUUCUUCCAAGGAGGUACCUGCGGGCAAACUCCCUUCAUCAGUCUGUUGCCUGGUGACCUACAAUGAUCCGUUUGUCCACUGCAGUUUCCCAGACACUUCUUCCAUAGUGGCCCUUACCGUAAGUCUAAAGCGAUGCUGCCCUCUCCUGUUCACUCUUGACCCGAACGAUCCAGGCAAAGGCUGCAGAUGUCUUUGUCACCACCUCGAGCCAAGGGAAAAGGUCCACAGUUUACUUUUAUCAAUCUUUUAAGAUCUGCAUGGAUAACACACAUGUUGAAAUGUUACUGAAAAUUCUAUUCCUUGAAAAUUCUAUUCCUUGAAAUUUUUCUCUUUUUAACAUUCUUCCUCUCUCCCAUCCCCAUUUAUAUUCUUUGUCUACAACUUGUUUUUUAUUUUUUUUUUAAAUCCACCUGCUCCUUAACAAUCUCUUCUUCCCCCUGAGCACUCUCAAAACACACUCCUCCUCUAGUCGCA